rnacentral:rRNA from 1 species
UACGGAGGGUGCGAGCGUUGUCCGGAAUCAUUGGGCGUAAAGAGCGUGUAGGCGGCCAAACAGGUCCACUGUGAAAACUCGAGGCUCAACCUCGAGAGGUCGGUGGAAACCGUCUGGCUAGAGUCCGGAAGAGGAGAGUGGAAUUCCCGGUGCAGCGGUGAAAUGCGCAGAUAUCGGGAAGAACACCCGUGGCGAAGGCGGCUCUCUGGGACGGUACUGACGCUGAGACGCGAAAGCGUGGGGAGCGAACAGG